rnacentral:rRNA from 1 species
UACGGAGGGUGCAAGCGUUGUCCGGAAUUAUUGGGCGUAAAGAGCUCGUAGGCGGCCUGUUACGUCUGCUGUGAAAUCCCGGGGCUUAACCCCGGGCGUGCAGUGGAUACGGGCAGGCUGGAGGCAGGCAGGGGAGAACGGAAUUCCCGGUGUAGCGGUGAAAUGCGCAGAUAUCGGGAGGAACACCGGUGGCGAAGGCGGUUCUCUGGGCCUGUACUGACGCUGAGGAGUGAAAGCGUGGGGAGCGAACAGG